UACGAAGGGGGCUAGCGUUGCUCGGAAUCACUGGGCGUAAAGGGCGCGUAGGCGGAUUUUUAAGUCAGAGGUGAAAGCCCAAGGCUCAACCUUGGAAUUGCCUUUGAUACUGGGAAUCUCGAGACCGGUAGAGGUAAGUGGAACUGCGAGUGUAGAGGUGAAAUUCGUAGAUAUUCGCAAGAACACCAGUGGCGAAGGCGGCUUACUGGACCGGUUCUGACGCUGAGGCGCGAAAGCGUGGGGAGCAAACAGG
rnacentral:rRNA from 1 species